AUGUAUUUUGCCUGCCGGGCUGCGGAGGGGAAGCACGGGUUCACAUCCGAAAGCCCUGCUCAGACCCCGCAGCCUGCUGCGUCUCAUCGGACAUCCCGCGUUUUCCGUGCAGCCGCAUUUAGUGAAAGUGCGGACCGCCUGGAGAUCGCGCCUGGCAAAGCGAUGAAAGGAGGGAAGGCCAGGUUGGUCGGAGCCCUGCUCCUAGGGAGCAACAAAUGUUGGAGCGAGAAGACAACUUUUCAGGGAUCCAUCCACACCCUGGAUGACCUGCUGCUGCUCCCCCAGGGUAGAAACCAGGCCGACUCCUACAGCUUGCUUGUCUGCCAGAUUUGGUAAUGAAGAGCAAAAGUGAAUGCCCGACCCCAUAAUUACGUAUCAACAGGCCACCAGUAUCAUAUGAGAGCACCGUGCUGAAAGGAGACGGCUUUUCACUUUAAUCUCUCAUGUUCCUCCUUGGGCUUUGACCACUCAAGGGAAGAUCAAUGCUAAAGGCGGUCGCCUGUCCUCUUCCUGGUGCUGACAUGACCCAUUUGAAGCGCUGCCGCAGAGCGUGGAGGUGCGCUACGUAACGCUGCUGUUGGUACGGAGUAGGAGGUGGUCUGCAGAGGAACUAGGUCUCUCAUACAGCCCUAGAAGAUGUACCUUUUGGUUAAAAAGUGUCCAGCAAGCUGUGCCGUCUGGAGAGCAGAAGACAAACUAGUGAGUUAAGACACUGAAGCUAUUCCUGUAGCAGGGGGCCAGCUAUUUGUUUGGAGUAACGACCCUAACAGGGAGCUAAGGAACAACAACUGGCUCCAGGCCAGGGCCAGUCUUCGCUUCUCCUCCUCCUCCUGCCCCAGGCCUUGGCCUUGCCUUGUGAAGGCAAAGUUCAGUGUUAACAGCUGCUUGCUGGCAUGCGAGGGCUGUAACUCCUGUUGCAGAGGUCAGAAAGGAGGAUAACCGCGCCACCAACAACCUGCGAAAGCAGACGCACUGGCAACGUUUUCACCGCGGCGCCUCAGCUCUGCAAACAGCGACCGCAACGCCCCGAAAAUCACAGGAAACCACACUAGGCAAGGGACGGUUUCCUACCACCGUGUGUCGCCCGGCUAGCCCUGGGCCGUCAUCGCUGCUCUGAACGCCGUGGGCUUUUCCUAGGCGCUGCCCCCUGCUCUGCGGCCGUGCCGGUUUCCCGUGCGACCGCGCAGCGUGCUGCAGCAGCAGCCCCGGCGUGGGCACGGUCGGUGAAAUAAAUGGAGUGCAAUCCUCUCUCA
rnacentral:lncRNA from 1 species